rnacentral:snRNA from 1 species
AUGCUUGCUGCAGCAGCAUAUAUAUAAAAUUGGAAAGAUACAGAGAAGAUUAGCAUGGCCUCUGCACAAGGAUGACAUGCAAAUUCAUGAAGUGCUCUCUAUUUAA